ACUGGCACACCCACCGGGAAGAGUGUGAUUACAGACACAUCCCCGGGGUGGAUUCCGGAUGGAGGAGGACUCUGAUGGGACAGGCGGGGGUAUUAGAGACACCCCUAGAGUAGGACGCAACUUGAAAGCCUGGCUGCAGGACCAGUACUGUGACCAUGAGCUGGAGCAUUGUCAGGACACGCUGCUACACAAUGCUGCUUGUGUUGGGGAUAUUGAUACACUGAGGACACUAUUUCAGGAGGAGAGGUUUCUAAGACGUAUAAAUGAGAAGUCAGUAUGGUGUAGCGGAUGGCUCCCCUGUUCUCCUUUACGCAUUGCAGCAACAGCCGGCCAUGCAGAUUGUGUCUCUCUCCUGAUCCAUCAUGGGGCAGAGUUGGAACUAGUGGAUGUAAAAGGGCAAACGCCUUUAUUUGUAGCCACAGAAAAUGGACACUUGGAAUGUGUGCAAGUCCUUCUGAAAGCUGGAGCAGACCCUAACGGCAGUCCACACAAUCGGAGUUCCCCCGUAUAUCAUGCAGCUCGCAUGGGCAGAGCUGAUAUAUUAGAAGAGCUCAUCAGAUACGGUGCAGAUGUGGACGUUGAUCACCAGCUGUCCUGUGGUUUGGAGUCUUCCCCUCGAUGUCUGACAUCAUUGUCAUGCACACCAUUGUAUAUUAGUGCAGCGUAUGACAGUUUGCCUUGCUUCCGUCUCCUGCUUCAGGCUGGUGCCAACCCUGACUAUAACAGCUGUAGUAUGGUAUGUGAGGCAAACUUUUCACGAGCAUCCCCAUCCUGUCUGUUGGAGGCAGUUCUCCGCCAUGGAUGUGAUCAACCAUUUGUUCAGCUACUUAUUGACUACGGGGCAAAUCUUUAUCUUGUACGCAAGGAACCGAGUGUUGUGGAAAACUCCAGAAGGAAAGUAAACCCAGAAUCCCUGAAACUCUUCAAGGAAGCAAGAUGUUGUACACAGACCCUGUCAAGUUUAUGUCGUAUUGCUGUGCGGAGGGCGCUUGGAAAACAUAGACUGUCCUGUAUUAAUAGCCUCCCUGUUCCAUCCCGUGUUGUGCACUACCUUCUCCAUGAGGACUGAUGUUAUCGCUCACCAGGACCAAAGUUGCCUGGAUCCUCAGGUAAAGGUUCACAGGCAAGCAGCCAACAUUAGGGAGAGGAGGCGAAUGCUCAGUAUCAAUUCUGCUUUUGAAGAGUUACGAGGUAGAGUCCCAACUUUCCCCUAUGAGAAGAGAUUAUCUAAGAUCGAUACCUUGCGGCUGGCUAUUGCCUACAUAGCAUUGUUGAGGGACAUCCUGGCUUCUGGGACAGAUCCUAAGUCCUAUCUGGACGAGUUUAUGAAAAGAGGCGGUCAAGGGUCAAAUGGCAACAUCUGGAACACAAGUGAUCUCACCGCCCGUCUGUCCUGGAUUAAAUGGGACUGAAGCAGCAGCAUCAAAGUCCUCUCUGGCCAGGUGCUGAGUUCUCACCAGCAAUAAGCUUGGGACUGGUGGCUUCUGAAAUUCCCAGGGCCCAGGCCAGUAUGGGAAUGGCACAGUUAACUGAUAUGCAGCACAAUGUCAUGGAAACGCACCACGGACACUUGCAGAAAAAUGUGUUAGUACUGUAUUAAUUCUACACCUGCGUGA